rnacentral:rRNA from 1 species
AUUGAACGCUGGCGGCAGGCCUAACACAUGCAAGUCGAGCGAGCGGCGAACGGGUGAGUAAUGUAUGGGGACUGGCCGCCUGCGGGGGAUAACCAGUUGAAACGGUAGCUAAUACCGCAUACUCUCGGAUGACCCCUUUGGGAGUAGCUCGUAGGUGAGGUAAUGGCUCACCUAGGCGACGAGCCCUAGCGGGUCUGAGAGGAUGAUCAGCAACACUGGGACUGAGACACGGCCCAGACGCCUACGGAGGCAGCAGUGGGGAAUAUUGGACAAUGGGCGGAAGUCUGAUGCAGCCAUGCCGCGGGUGGGAAGAAGGCCCUAGGGGUGUAAAGUACUUUCAGUCGGGAUGCGGUACCGACAGAAGAAGCACCGGCUAACUCCGUGCCAGCAGCCGCGGUAAUUC